rnacentral:tRNA from 1 species
ACUUCUCUGGCAGAGAAUAUGCAAUAAAUUUAGAAUUUAUAGAUACAACAAACGAUGUGAGAAGUA